UACAGAGGGGGCAAGCGUUGUUCGGAAUUACUGGGCGUAAAGAGCGCGUAGGCGGAACGUUAAGUCCGAUCUGAAAGCCCCCGGCUCAACCGGGGAGGGUGGUUGGAAACUGGCGUUCUUGAGGGCGAUAGAGGAAGGUGGAAUUCCUGGUGUAGCGGUGAAAUGCGUAGAGAUCAGGAGGAACACCAGUGGCGAAGGCGGCCUUCUGGGUCGACCCUGACGCUGAGGCGCGAAAGCGUGGGGAGCGAACGGG
rnacentral:rRNA from 1 species